rnacentral:rRNA from 1 species
UACGUAGGGGUGCAAGCGUUGUCCGGAAUUAUUGGGCGUAAAGAGCUCGUAGGCGGUUUGUCGCGUCUGCUGUGAAAACUCGGGGCUUAACUCCCGGGCCUGCAGUGGGUACGGGCAGACUAGAGUGCGGUAGGGGAGACUGGAAUUCCUGGUGUAGCGGUGAAAUGCGCAGAUAUCAGGAGGAACACCGGUGGCGAAGGCGGGUCUCUGGGCCGUAACUGACGCUGAGGAGCGAAAGCGUGGGAGCGAACAGG